rnacentral:rRNA from 2 species
GUGAGGAAUAUUGGGCAAUGGGCGAAAGCCUGACCCAGCCACGCCGCGUGAGUGAUGAAGGCCUUCGGGUUGUAAAGCUCUGUGGGGAGGGAAGAAAAAGCGCAGGAGUAACUGCCUGUGUGUUGACGGUACCUCCUUAGCAAGCACCGGCUAACUCUGUGCCAGCAGCCGCGGUAAUACAGAGGGUGCAAACGUUGCUCGGAAUUACUGGGCGUAAAGCGCGUGUAGGCUGACAUGCAAGUCGGGUGUGAAAUCCCAGGGCUCAACCUUGGAACUGCACUCGAAACUGCACGUCUUGAGUACUGGAGAGGGAAGCGGAAUUCCGGGUGUAGAGGUGAAAUUCGUAGAUAUCCGGAGGAACACCAGUGGCGAAGGCGGCUUCCUGGACAGUAACUGACGCUGAGACGCGAAAGCGUGGGGAGCAAACAGGAUUAGAUACCCGAGUAGUCC